rnacentral:lncRNA from 1 species
UGCUGCUGUUGACAAUCACAGCAGCCUGCUGGGGGCAAAGUAUGGGGAAAGAAAAAUAAUCAUGUAUUUCUCAAAAUUCAGAAAUAAUGAAACAACUGAGUGGGUGUAAUGUGCAUAUGUAUGUUAUCAAUGAAGGCCAAAUACUGGUAUAAUUUUCACACAUACUAAAAAAUACAUAAUAAUAUAAUUACAUUUAUUAACUCAAUCAACUAAUACAAUUUUAUAUCAUUUAAAUCUAUCAAAUUCCAGGUUUGGCAUAAUAGUUACUAAAGUGAUAUAGGUGAUGCUUCUUGAAACUAUGGCAUGUUUAAACACACAUGAUCUUCUAAAAAAGGAAGUUGAGCAUUAAAUAUGGUAAAUGAUGAAAUCAGAGUCAUUACCUGAAAUAAUGCUUCUGCAGGUAGGAGGAAUACAAAAUAUGAAUUAAAUAUGUAUGUAUAGAUGGAUUUUACCUCCUACAAAAAUCCUUCUCAUUCUGCAAAUACCGUCUAUGUUCAUAAGAGAUGCAGAGAUAUAUUACUUGGUCUUUGCUUUCAAGCAGCUCAUUCUGUGUGGGGGAGUUGAUGUGUACCACUGUGUAGCAGGAGAAGCAACAGGAGUACGGAGGCUUUGAAGCUGUUGAAGGCUUCCGAAGGAAGCAGCAGGUGAUCAUUUUAGGUAUUAAGAGUUUAACUAGACAACCAAAUGAAGAUGAAUGGGUGGUGGUGGUGGGAGGAAAGUUUAGAGGCACAUAAUGAUCCUGCUUGAGAAGCAGCCAAACAUGUCCGGGGAGAUGGGUGCAGCAAGGCAUUUUCAGGGGGUGGUGACAGGUAUGCAGUGAAAGGUAAAGGCCAGAAAAGGGCAGGGAGUGGGGAGGCUGACAGGGGAUAGCAUUGAGGAUUUUAGGUGCAGGAAGGAGAAAUUGAAGGUAAGAAUACAGGAUGAUGUGUCUAGAGCUGUCUGUUGGAAGACUGUUUCCCCGAGAAAAACAGAUUUCAAGGUGAGACAGUCCAGCCAUGUAAGAAAUCUGUAGUAUAUUUUAAAGUCUGAACAAAAUUUUCCAAUCUUAAAAUAUGAGGAAAUAAACCGAGGGAAAAAAACACCAGUAAAUUUUUUUAAAACAUGAUAUCAAUGUAAUGGUGCCUUUUAGUUAUAGACUGGUGAGGUUCUAGAGAUCAAUCAUUUCAUCUGGUAAAGAAAUGGAAAUCCAGGGAAGUGAAGGGAUUUGAUCC